rnacentral:rRNA from 1 species
AUUGAACGCUGGCGGCAUGCUUUACACAUGCAAGUCGAACGGUAACAGGGUGCUUGCACCGCUGACGAGUGGCGAACGGGUGAGUAAUGCGUCGGAACGUGCCGAGUAGUGGGGGAUAACGCAGCGAAAGUUGUGCUAAUACCGCAUACGUACUGAGGUAGAAAGUGGGGGACCUUCGGGCCUCACGCUAUUCGAGCGGCCGACGUCUGAUUAGCUAGUAGGUGAGGUAAAGGCUCACCUAGGCGACGAUCAGUAGCGGGUCUGAGAGGAUGAGCCGCCACACUGGGACUGAGACACGGCCCAGACUCCUACGGGAGGCAGCAGUGGGGGAUUUUGGACAAUGGGCGAAAGCCUGAUCCAGCCAUGCCGCGUGUCUGAAGAAGGCCUUCGGGUUGUAAAGGACUUUUGUCGGGGAGGAAAUCCCCAGCGUUAAUACCGCUGGGGGAUGACAGUACCUGAAGAAUAAGCACCGGCUAACUACGUGCCAGCAGCCACCGUAACAC